GUUAGUGUGGCAGAGCCCGGUUAAUGCACAAGACCUAAACCCUUUUAACAGAGGUUCAAAUCCUCUUUCUAACU
rnacentral:tRNA from 2 species